rnacentral:lncRNA from 1 species
GCAAAACGAUGCCGCCGCCAGUGCAGACUGGGGAACCCAUGGGGGGGGCUGCGCCAGUGCCACCAGGGCUCAUAAACAGCAGCCGGGCAGCGAGGCAGGGGCUCAGAGCAUGCAGCUGCUCCUGCUGGCCGCGGGGCUCAGCCUGCUGUCCAUGGCGCCGGCUGAGGAGGGCGACAUGGUGAUGCCCGCGUCCAGAAGCACACUUUUAGGAACAUGGUACAUACUUCGCUGGGCUGGAACCAUCCCCAUCCCCAGGGAGAAGCGGCGGGAACCCCUGCCCCCCUUUAGCUUUGUGGUAAAUUACAUCGGGAAACUGGAGUUCCGGAUGCACAUCCGGUGAGUGCCACCCCCCUCCCCACGGCACACUCUGAGCCGAGCUGGCCCUGCAGGCAGGCUUCCGGGACCCUGUGUGGCCUAGGGUUGGCCUGCAGCUCUGGGGCUGGUUCUGUGUCCCCAGCACCUGACCAGUGAGCACGUGCUUAGGCAGCCGAGGGAGGAGGGUGUGCCGGGCCACCAUUCACAGGUCCCGGUGACCCUGCAGGUAUGGGGUGGGUGUCGGAGCUGUGUGCUGGAUGACGGCAGUGGGUGUGGGCAGAUACGGAAGCUCACGCAGAGUAUUCAGGGUGUCCGGAAGCCAAGCGGAUGCCACCUGUUUAAACUGCCUUUUAAUGAGGGGCUCGAUCCUGGGAGCUUCAUCACCUGGUGGAAACACCUGAUCCACAUCUGGCUGCUCACACCCAGGACGUACGGUGUCGCCUUCUUCGACGACAAGAUCAACAACCAGAUGAUGAGCCUGGUGAUGCUCUUCGGCCGCACCCUGGACGACGACCCGCAGGCGCUGGAGCUGUUCACUGAGCUUCUGGAGGCGAAGGGGCUGAACGCCAGCGAGGCCGUGGUCCCGCCCCACCUGUACGCCUGUGAGGUGACCGGAGUGCCCUAGAUCCGGAGGGGAUGCUGCAGCCACACCACUCGGGGACCAGGAGCAGCGGGACUUGGCCCAGGCCUCUCUGAAAUCCCUGCUGAAGAUUUAGCAAAUAAAAGCAAUUUGUGGCAGCCUGGCUUCCUCCUAUGGCCAAGCCCCCUGCCCGGCCUCCCUCCCUCCAGGGCCCCCAGCACCCAAAGAGAGUGUCUGAGAGAAUGGGGUGUCUUCCUUCCUAGCAUGCAACUAAACACACUGCGUGUGGAGACCGCAGGUCUUUAUCACUGACGCGCUGCUAGAGCAGGUCCUAGUCACAGCAUCUGUCCGCACACGGGGCAGGGCGCGCCUGAGGGAGCCAGGAGCCCCGAACCUGCCAGUCCCCACCUUCCUACUCUCCGGCCGGUGUGGCCCCAAACACUGUCCACCUGCCCCUGCUUGCCCGGAGCUGUGAGGUGAGAGCCGCCUGGAGAUCUGAAGGUCUCCGUGUGACACCCCCCCUUUCCUUCCUGAGCACCCCUUAUCUGGGUUGCUUCAGUGGCUUCACAGGGAUUUUCCAGCGAUGGUGUUAGGGCGUACUCCUGGGUGUCCC